AGGGCGGCGAAGCGCGCCCGCCCUGGAACCGCCGGUUUCCUGCGCUUCCCGAGGUGAGACCCCCCCCUGCCCGGUGCUGCUGCGCCUGCCCGCUGAGUCUCCGGGCAGCGCCCUCCGCUGCGGAAUGAGUUGGAAGGAUUUUUCACAGAGGGUGAUGGAGUUACAUCGGAACCCCUUGCUGGAUUCUUCAGUGCUCUGGUGUGACGUUGUCCUGGCUGAAGCUGAACCUCUGGCCUUGCUCACAGGGAAAUGGGGAAGGUGGAAACAGGAUGCACCUCACAUGGACAAACUGGAGAGGCAUGAAUAAACGUACUCCUUCCAGAGAUGUGAGCAGAAAUGAAGAAGCCAAUAAUGGAUACUGAUGAAAGCAGACUAGCAACACCACAUCCAGGCAUGAAGGAACAAAGGGAAGAAAGGACCUUAAUGGAACCCGGGGACAGUGGGGCCACUCAGCAGGAGCUGUAGCCUAGAAGGUCUGCAGGCCAUACUGGAAUUGUGAAGACAAAGUAAGGAAGGGGUAGAAGAUAAAUGCCUCAUCCUCACUCCUCCCUCUGGAUGGACUCUCCUACUGGUAACUCCUAGUGGUCAAAUCCAACCAGGAGCCCACUCUGAUCAGGGCCAGCCUCCCAGUGCUCAGAGAAGGGCAAGGAAGAGAAGAACGGCAGAUAAAACAACAUAUAGGGUUAGAGAAGGGGCAGAAACAUAUAGGAAUGUCUGUCCAGAGACUUAAGAGAUUCCAGACAUGUUAGCCUGAGCUAACAGAAAUAUGAAAGACAGUUUGUGAGACUCUGGGCCUAGGCAGAACUGCUUUGUGGGUCAGCCAAGGAAGCGUAGCUGGAUUUGGAGAGAAGACCAUUCGUUCCGUCCAGCCUUGGAGUCCAGCAGAGCUCUUGCGUUUCAAGGACCAUAAAUGCUGGAGGCAUCAGAGAAUCUGGGGCACGGACAUUAGAGAUCUUGUGCCACUCUGUGGGAAGAAGAUUUUGCCAACCAGGAGCGUGUGGUGGCUGCAGCUGAUGGUCCCGUGUCUGGACUCACAAGAGGAAGGCUUCCUGGCCCUCAGCUCGGGGGACUGGAGCAAUCAUAAGUCGCUUAAUAAAAACAUACGUAGUA